rnacentral:rRNA from 1 species
AAUGAACGUUGGCGGCGUGGAUUAGGCAUGCAAGUCGCGCGAGAAGUCAUUUAGCUUGCUAAAAGGCGGACAGCGGCGGAAGGGAGAGUAACGCGUGGUUAUGUACCCUCGAGACCGGGAUAGUGUCGGGAAACUGGCAGUAAUACCGGAUAACAUCUUCGGGUCAAAUGGUGUGAUUCCGCUCGAGGAUCGGACCGCGUACUAUUAGCUAGUUGGCGGGGUAAUAGCCCACCAAGGCUUAGAUGGUUACCGGGUGUGAGAGCAUGGCCCGGCUCACUGGGACUGAGACACUGCCCAGACAUCUACGGAUGGCUGCAGUCGAGAAUCUUCGGCAAUGGACGAAAGUCUGACCGAGCGACGCCGCGUGCGGGAUGAAGGCCCUCGGGUUGUAAACCGCUGUCAGUUAGGAGGAAAUCCAUGAGGGUACUCUCUCAUGGUUGACCGAUUUUCAGAGGAAGGACGGGCUAAGUUCGUGCCAGCCGCCGCCGUAAUAC